AGAGUUUGAUCAGUGGCUCGAGGACGAACGCUGGCGGUGUGCUUCACACAUGCAAGUCGAACGAGGUAGCAAUACCUAGUGGCGGACGGGUGAGUAACGCGUGGGAAUCUGCCUUUAGAUGGGGGAUAACGGGUCGAAAGACUCGCUAAUACCGCAUAUGACGAAAGUUGAAAGGAGUAAUCCGUCUAAAGAUGAGCCCGCGUCCGAUUAGCUAGUUGGUAGAGUAAAAGCCUACCAAGGCGACGAUCGGUAGCUGGUCUGAGAGGAUGAUCAGCCACAAUGGGACUGAGACACGGCCCAUACUCCUACGGGAGGCAGCAGUGGGGAGUUUUACGCAAUGGGCGAAAGCCUGACGUAGCGACACCGCGUGAGCGAAGAAGCCCCUUGGGGUGUAAAGCUCUGUCAGCUGGAACGAAAAAAUGACGGUACCAGCAGAGGAAGCAUCGGCUAACUACGUG
rnacentral:rRNA from 1 species